AGUCCCGAUCCAGGUUUUUGUGCCGGCAUCCCAACAAACAACCACUGACACAGAUUUCGAACCAACCCCUAUGCUACAGAUUGAAGGGACUAGAGAAACCACUCCUGAACCCCCCAAACAACUUCAAGAAACCACACCCACGCUUCCCCCAGCUCCAACUAAAAUUCAUCCAGCUGCAGAAGACGCUGCUGCCCUGUUGAUGAUGGCACGGACAGCAACCUAUGUUCCUAAAACAGAUCCAGGGAUGCCAUCAUUCAGCCUUGGAUUGACAGAUUCAAGCCAGGAGGGG